GACGAACGCUGGCGGCGUGCUUAACACAUGCAAGUCGUACGGUAAGGCCCUUUCGGGGGUACACGAGUGGCGAACGGGUGAGUAACACGUGAGUAACCUGCCCACAACUUUGGGAUAACGCUAGGAAACUGGUGCUAAUACUGGAUAUGUGCUCCUGCUGCAUGGUGGGGGUUGGAAAGCUCCGGCGGUUGUGGAUGGACUCGCGGCCUAUCAGCUUGUUGGUGGGGUAGUGGCCUACCAAGGCGGCGACGGGUAGCCGGCCUGAGAGGGUGACCGGCCACAUGGGGACUGAGAGACGGCCCAGACUCCUACGGGAGGCAGCAGUGGGGAAUAUUGCACAAUGGGCGCAAGCCUGAUGCAGCAGCGCCGCGUGCGGGAUGACGGCCUUCGGGUUGUAAACCGCUUUCAGCAGGGACGAAGCUUUUUGUGACGGUACCUGAAGAAGAAGCACCGGCUAACUACGU
rnacentral:rRNA from 1 species